rnacentral:rRNA from 1 species
UACGUAGGGUGCAAGCGUUGUCCGGAAUUAUUGGGCGUAAAGAGCGUGUAGGCGGCCCGAUUAGUCCGCUGUGAAAGUCCAGGGCUCAACCCUGGAAUGCCGGUGGAUACUGUCGGGCUAGAGUCCGGAAGGGGCGAGUGGAAUUCCUGGUGUAGCGGUGAAAUGCGCAGAUAUCAGGAGGAGCACCAAUGGCGAAGGCAGCUCGCUGGGACGUGACUGACGCUGAGACGCGAAAGCGUGGGGAGCAAACAGG